rnacentral:sRNA from 1 species
GAAAUUUUCUGACAAUGACAAGCUGUAUCUCUACCUUCAGCUCCCCUCAGGACCCACCACUGGAGACAAAAGCUCAGAGCCAAGUACACUGAGCAAUGAGGAGUACAUGUAUGCCUAUAGGUGGAUCCGCAACCACCUGGAAGAGCACACUGACACCUGUCUGCCAAAGCAAAGUGUUUAUGAUGCCUAUCGGAAGUACUGUGAGAGUCUUGCCUGUUGCCGCCCACUCAGCACAGCCAACUUUGGCAAGAUCAUCAGAGAGAUCUUCCCUGACAUCAAAGCUCGAAGGCUUGGUGGCCGGGGCCAGUCCAAGUAUCCUUGACUAGAGAGGUUGGGGGUGGAGGACCUGGGAGGAAGACUUAGGAUGUGGAGAGCAAGGAGUGGAACAGCUUAACU